rnacentral:rRNA from 1 species
UGGGGAAUAUUGGACAAUGGGCGCAAGCCUGAUCCAGCAAUGCCGCGUGGGUGAAGAAGGCCUUCGGGUUGUAAAGCCCUUUUGUACGGGAAGAAAAGCUCCGGGCUAAUACCUUGGGGUCAUGACGGUACCGUAAGAAUAAGCACCGGCUAACUUCGUGCCAGCAGCCGCGGUAAUACGAAGGGUGCAAGCGUUACUCGGAAUUACUGGGCGUAAAGCGUGCGUAGGCGGUUUGUUAAGUCAGAUGUGAAAGCCCCGGGCUCAACCUGGGAAUUGCAUUUGAAACUGGCGAGCUAGAGUGUGGUAGAGGGUGGUGGAAUUCCCGGUGUAGCAGUGAAAUGCGUAGAGAUCGGGAGGAACAUCUGUGGCGAAGGCGGCCACCUGGACCAACACUGACGCUGAGGCACGAAAGCGUGGGGAGCAAACAGG